CGCGUGCCGCCCCGCCACGUGGCGCCGCGCCGCGCGCUGCGGGCCGCCAUGGGCGUCACGCUCGACCAUCUGGACACCCCUAUGGCGGUGGACGACUUCGAGAUGGAAAUGAACGAGCACCGCGACCUGGCCUCCGACCCUGACUCCCGCUCCAGCCACGACAAAUGAAUGUAUUAUAAAGCUCUAGAAGAAGCGCGAGCAAAUUGUUAUUUAUUGUACAUAAUAUUUACCUAGUUAUAAGCAUUUUGUAAGAAUAAAAAUCACUGAAAUCAAGGAA